rnacentral:rRNA from 1 species
CCUACGGGUGGCAGCAGUGGGGGAUAUUGCACAAUGGGGGAAACCCUGAUGCAGCGACGCCGCGUGGGUGAAGCAGUAUUUCGGUAUGUACAGCCCUAUCAGCAGGGAAGAAAGAAGACGGUACCUGACUAAGAAGCCCCUGCUAACUACGUGCCAGCAGCCGCGGUAAUACGUAGGGGGCGGUCGUUAUCCGGAUUCACUGGGUGUAAAGGGAGCGUAGACGGCCGUGCAAGCCAGGAGUGAAAGCCCGGGGCCCAACCCCGGGACUGCUCUUGGAACUGUGCGGCUGGAGUGCGGGAGGGGCAGGCGGAAUUCCUGGGGUAGCGGUGAAAUGCGUAGAUAUCAGGAGGAACACCGGCGGCGAAGGCGGCCUGCUGGACCGCGACUGACGUUGAGGCUCGAAAGCGUGGGGAGCGAACAGGAUUAGAUACCCCUGUAGUC